rnacentral:lncRNA from 1 species
GGAUUACUUUGACCAAAGUUUUACUAAAUUAAAAUAUAAUGAUGCAUCAUCUUCAAUUUUAUUUGGAGUGAUCAAUUCUAUCUUGACUCGCACUCAGACUUCACAAGUACUUAACUAUACCCAGAAACCUUCCAUCAUCGAAUAAAAAAUUUAGAUAGUCCAGCACCAAAUCAUAGUGAGUUGCUUGCAAGUCACUAAGAUAGUC